CGGCCGCGUCGACAACUAUUGGAAACGAUAGCUAAUACCGCAUAACAAUGGAUGACACAUGUCAUUUAUUUGAAAGGGGCAAUUGUUCCACUACAAGAUGGACCUGCGUUGUAUUAGCUAGUAGGUGAGGUAAUGGCUCACCUAGGCGACGAUACAUAGCCGACCUGAGAGGUUGAUCGGCCACAUUGGGACUGAGACACGGCCCAAACUCCUACGGGAGGCAGCAGUAGGGAAUCUUCCACAAUGGACGCAAGUCUGAUGGAGCAACGCCGCGUGAGUGAAGAAGGCUUUCGGGUCGUAAAACUCUGUUGUUGGAGAAGAAUGGUCGGCAGAGUAACUGUU
rnacentral:rRNA from 1 species